CAUUUGUGUCUAUUUGCAAAAAGGGACAUCAGUCCUGGGGAAGAGAUCAUGUAUAAUUAUGGGAACUCUGACUGGCCAUGGAGAUGUGAGGCUGUGGGUCAGGUGGUAGAGGCUGGUAGGCUGCCCACUAAUCAUGGAGUCGGUGGCUCACUUCCUGGUUCCUUCUGUCAACACUUCAAAGUGUUAAUUUUAAGGCACUGCAGGCAAGUUUGUCCAGAAAGGUUAGGCCUGCACCUCACACGGCAGCUCUGCCAACAUUUGACUUAGAUGCUGCUGGUGUU